UAGUGGCGAACGGGUGAGUAACACGUGGGCAAUCUGCCCUUCACUCUGGGACAAGCCCUGGAAACGGGGUCUAAUACCGGAUAUCACUCCUGCAGGCAUCUGCGGGGGUUGAAAGCUCCGGCGGUGAAGGAUGAGCCCGCGGCCUAUCAGCUUGUUGGUGAGGUAAUGGCUCACCAAGGCGACGACGGGUAGCCGGCCUGAGAGGGCGACCGGCCACACUGGGACUGAGACACGGCCCAGACUCCUACGGGAGGCAGCAGUGGGGAAUAUUGCACAAUGGGCGAAAGCCUGAUGCAGCGACGCCGCGUGAGGGAUGACGGCCUUNGGGUUGUAAACCUCUUUCAGCAGGGAAGAAGCGAAAGUGACGGUACCUGCAGAAGAAGCGCCGGCUAACUACGUGCCAGCAGCCGCGGUAAUACGUAGGGCGCAAGCGUUGUCCGGAAUUAUUGGGCGUAAAGAGCUCGUAGGCGGCUUGUCACGUCGGGGUGUGAAAGCCCGGGGCUUAACCCCGGGUCUGCAUUCGAUACGGGCUAGCUAGAGUGUGGUAGGGGAGAUCGGAAUUCCU
rnacentral:rRNA from 1 species